rnacentral:rRNA from 1 species
GACGAACGCUGGCGGCGUGCUUAACACAUGCAAGUCGAACGGAAAGGCCUGCUUUCCCUUGUGGAUUGCGGGUACUCGAGUGGCGAACGGGGGGGUAACACGUGAGUGAUCUUGCGCCAACUUUGGGAUAAGCCUGGGUAACUGGGUCUAAUUCCCGAUGGGACCGUAGGGUGGUUCCUGUGGUGUAAAACGAUUUUCUAGUGGUUGGGGAUUGGCUCGCGGCCUAUCGGCUUGUGGGUGGGGUAAUGGCCUACCAAGGGGGCGACUGGUAGCCGGCCUGAGAGGGUGGACGGACACACUGGGACGGCGAUUCGGCACAGACACCUACGGGAGGCAGCAGUGGGGGAUAUUGCACGAUGGGCGGACGCCUGAUGCAGCGACGCCGCGUGGCGGAUCCCGGUCUUCGGGUUGUACCCUCCUUUCGUACGCGGGGAAGCCACCUGGUUGGAAGGGUGGUGACGGUAGUGGUAGAAGAAGCACCGGCUAACUACGUG